UCUGGGUCACCUCCCACCCGUGUCUAUCGUACCUUGUUGCUUCGGCGGGCCCGCCGUUYCGACGGCCGCCGGGGAGGCCUUGCGCCCCCGGGCCCGCGCCCGCCGAAGACCCCAACAUGAACGCUGUUCUGAAAGUAUGCAGUCUGAGUUGAUUAUCGUAAUCAGUUAAAACUUUCAACAACGGAUCUCUUGGUUCCGGCAUCGAUGAAGAACGCAGCGAAAUGCGAUAAGUAAUGUGAAUUGCAGAAUUCAGUGAAUCAUCGAGUCUUUGAACGCACAUUGCGCCCCCUGGUAUUCCGGGGGGCAUGCCUGUCCGAGCGUCAUUGCUGCCCUCAAGCACGGCUUGUGUGUUGGGCCCCCGUCCCCCUCUCCCGGGGGACGGGCCCGAAAGGCAGCGGCGGCACCGCGUCCGGUCCUCGAGCGUAUGGGGCUUUGUCACCUGCUCUGUAGGCCCGGCCGGCGCCAGCCGACACCCAACUUUAUUUUUCUAAGGUUGACCUCGGAUCAGGUAGGGAUACCCGCUGAACUUAAGCAUAU
rnacentral:rRNA from 1 species